rnacentral:rRNA from 1 species
GUGCACGCUGGCGGUAGGCCUAACACCUGCAAGUCGAACGGCAGCACAGUAAGAGCUUGCUCUUACGGGUGGCGAGUGGCGGACGGGUGAGGAAUACAUCGGAAUCUACUUUUUCGUGGGGGAUAACGUAGGGAAACUUACGCUAAUACCGCAUACGACCUACGGGUGAAAGCAGGGGAUCUUCGGACCUUGCGCGAUUGAAUGAACCGAUGUCGGAUUAGCUAGUUGGCGGGGUAAAGGCCCACCAAGGCGACGAUCCGUAGCUGGUCUGAGAGGAUGAUCAGCCACACUGGAACUGAGACACGGUCCAGACUCCUACGGGAGGCAGCAGUGGGGAAUAUUGGACAAUGGGCGCAAGCCUGAUCCAGCCAUACCGCGUGGGUGAAGAAGGCCUUCGGGUUGUAAAGCCCUUUUGUUGGGAAAGAAAAGCAGCAGGUUAAUACCCCGCUGUUCUGACGGUACCCAAAGAAUAAGCACCGGCUAACUUCGUG